CUCUUCCUUUCUUUCUUCUUUCCUUCUUUCCUUCUGUCUCUCAUUUUCUCUUUCCUUCUUUCCUUCUUUCUCAGGAUCUUGCUGUGUUGCCCAGGCAUGCAGUGGCAUGAUCACAGCUUAGUGCAGCCUUGACCUGUAAGACUCAAGCGAUCCUCCCCCAUCAGCCUCCUGAGUAGUGGGGACUACGGGUGCACGACAUUACACCUGAGUAAUUUUUUGAUUUUCUGUAGAGACAAGGUCUUGCUUUGUUACCCAGGCUUGUCUCCAAAGAGUUGGCAGUGAUUUUUCUUAUGGCUCAGGGUCAAAAAUAGAAGACAGUCAGGGGCCAAUAGAGAACAGAGAUGUUUCAAGCACCAACUGACCCCUCUUCAUGUACAGGGGUUGCAGG
rnacentral:lncRNA from 1 species